AUUGAACGCUGGCGGCAGGCCUAACACAUGCAAGUCGAGCGGAUGAAGAGAGCUUGCUCUCUGAUUUAGCGGCGGACGGGUGAGUAAUGCCUAGGAAUCUGCCUGGUAGUGGGGGAUAACGUCCGGAAACGGGCGCUAAUACCGCAUACGUCCUACGGGAGAAAGCAGGGGACCUUCGGGCCUUGCGCUAUCAGAUGAGCCUAGGUCGGAUUAGCUAGUUGGUGAGGUAAUGGCUCACCAAGGCUACGAUCCGUAACUGGUCUGAGAGGAUGAUCAGUAAGACUGGAACUGGGACACGGUCCAGACUCCUACGGGAGGCAGCAGUGGGGAAUAUUGGACAAUGGGCGAAAGCCUGAUCCAGCCAUGCCGCGUGUGUGAAGAAGGUCUUCGGAUUGUAAAGCACUUUAAGUUGGGAGGAAGGGCAGUAAGUUAAUACCUUGCUGUUUUGACGUUACCGACAGAAUAAGCACCGGCUAACUUCGUGCCAGCCGCCGCAGUAACAC
rnacentral:rRNA from 1 species